rnacentral:rRNA from 1 species
UACGGGGGGGGCAAGCGUUGUUCGGAAUUACUGGGCGUAAAGGGCUCGUAGGCGGCCAACUAAGUCAGACGUGAAAUCCCCAGGCUCAACCUGGGAACUGCGUCUGAUACUGGAUGGCUUGAAUCCGGGAGAGGGAUGCAGAAUUCCAGGUGUAGCGGUGAAAUGCGUAGAUAUCUGGAGGAAUACCGGUGGCGAAGGCGGCAUCUUGGACCGGCAUUGACGCUGAGGAGCGAAAGCCAGGGGAGCAAACGGG